rnacentral:rRNA from 1 species
UACUGAAGAGCUUCGCUCUCGGGAUGACGAAGCGGGCGGACCGGUGUGAUAUUGUCUGGGAAAGCUGCCUGAUGGAAGGGGAAAAAAUACUGAAAACGGUAGCUAAUACCGCAUAAUGUCGCAAGACCAAAGUGGGGGACCUUCGGGCCUCAUGCCAUCAGAUGUGCCCAGAUGGGAUUAGCUAGUAGGUGGGGUAACGGCUCACCUAGGCGACGAUCCCUAGCUGGUCUGAGAGGAUGACCACCCACACUGGAACUGAGACACGGUCCAGACUCCUACGGGAGGCAGCAGUGGGGAAUAUUGCACAAUGGGCGCAAGCCUGAUGCAGCCAUGCCGCGUGUGUGAAGAAGGCCUUCGGGUUGUAAAGCACUUUCAGCGGGGAGGAAGGCGUUAAGGUUAAUAACCUUGUCGAUUGACGUUACCCGCAGAAUAAGCACCGGCUAACUCCGUGCCAGCGGCC